rnacentral:rRNA from 1 species
AAUGAACGUUGGCGGCGUGGAUUAGGCAUGCAAGUCGAGCGGGUGUAGCAAUACACCAGCGGCGAAAGGGAGAGUAAUACGUGGAUACCUACCCUCGGGCCUGGGAUAGCUUCGGGAAACUGAAGGUAAUACCAGAUAACGUCCCCGGACCAAAGGUGUGAUCCCGUCCGAGGAGGGGUCCGCGGCCUAUUAGCUAGUUGGUGAGGUAACAGCCCACCAAGGCGAAGAUGGGUACGAGGCGUGAGAGCGUGUCCUCGCUCACUGGGACUGAGACACUGCCCAGACACCUACGGGUGGCUGCAGUCGAGAAUCUUCGGCAAUGGGCGCAAGCCUGACCGAGCGACGCCGCGUGCGGGAUGAAGGCCUUCGGGUUGUAAACCGCUGUCAGUAGGGAGGAAUGGUUUGGGGGCUCUCCCCCAGAUUUGACCUAUCUGCAGAGGAAGGACGGGCUAAGUUCGUGCCAGCAGCCGCAGUAA